ACACGUGGGUAACCUGCCUUAUAGUGGGGGAGUAGCCUUUCGAAAGGAAGAUUAAUACCGCAUAAGAUUGUAGUAUCGCAUGAUAUAGCAAUUAAAGGAGCAAUUCGCUAUAAGAUGGACCCGCGUCGCAUUAGCUAGUUGGUGAGGUAAUGGCUCACCAAGGCGACGAUGCGUAGCCGACCUGAGGAGGGUGAACGGCCACAUUGGGACUGAGACACGGCCCAGACUCCUACGGGAGGCAGCAUG
rnacentral:rRNA from 1 species